GAACGGCAGCACAGCAGAGCUUGCUCUGUGGGUGGCGAGUGGCGGACGGGUGAGGAAUACAUGGGAAUCUGCCCAGUCGUGGGGGAUAACGUAGGGAAACUUACGCUAAUACCGCAUGCGCCCUUCGGGGGAAAGCCGGGGACCUUCGGGCCUGGCGCGAUUGGAUGAGCCCAUGUCGGAUUAGCUAGUUGGCGGGGUAAAGGCCCACCAAGGCGACGAUCCGUAGCUGGUCUGAGAGGAUGAUCAGCCACACUGGAACUGAGACACGGUCCAGACUCCUACGGGAGGCAGCAGUAGGGAAUAUUGGACAAUGGGCGCAAGCCUGAUCCAGCCAUGCCGCGUGAGUGAAGAAGGCCCUCGGGUUGUAAAGCUCUUUUGUCCGGAAAGAAAAGCAUCGGGUUAAUACCCCGGUGUUCUGACGGUACCGGAAGAAUAAGCACCGGCUAACUUCGUGCCAGCAGCCGCGGUAAUACGAAGGGUGCAAGCGUUACUCGGAAUUACUGGGCGUAAAGCGUGCGUAGGUGGUUCGUUAAGUCCGAUGUGAAAGCCCUGGGCUCAACCUGGGAAUGGCAUUGGAUACUGGCGGGCUAGAGUGCGGUAGAGGAUAGUGGAAUUCCUGGUGUAGCAGUGAAAUGCGUAGAGAUCAGGAGGAACAUCCGUGGCGAAGGCGACUGUCUGGACCAGCACUGAC
rnacentral:rRNA from 1 species